GCGCCUGUAGCUCAGUUGGAUAGAGCACCUGCCUUCUAAGCAGGGUGUCGGGCGUUCGAGUCGCCCCAGGCGCGCCA
rnacentral:tRNA from 3 species